rnacentral:rRNA from 1 species
UACGUAGGGGGCGAGCGUUGUCCGGAUUUACUGGGCGUAAAGCGCACGCAGGCGGUCUGCUAAGUUUGGAGUGACAGUUGGUGGCUUAACUGCCAAAGUGCUUCGAAAACUGACAGACUUGAGGGCUUCAGAGGGACACGGAAUUCCGGGUGGAGUGGUGAAAUGCGUAGAGAUCCGGAGGAACACCGAUGGCGAAGGCAGGUCUCUGGGCAUUAACUGACGCUGAGGAGCGAAAGCAUGGGGAGCGAACAGG